ensembl:lncRNA
CUUCCCCUUUAAGAGACUCCUUGGCCCAUUUUGAAGCAGCACUGAGCAGAGAAGAGAAGCAGACAGACUAACAAGCUAAAAAGUUAAAAGCUUUUGUGAAGAGUUGAUUUAUAAGCUCAUAAGCAAUACUUACCUGCUUGGGCAUUCAUGAAGAUUAAAUACAAGAAAACAACAACGUUUUUGGAAAAAGAUGUCAUCGGCCUGACAGCAGGAGAGAGGUCAGGUUGUUGUUGUUGUUGUUGUUGUUGUUUGUGUUCCUGUUAGAAAUUGGACUAUGGUCUGCCGCCAUGUGGGGACCACACACACGGGAUACAAGAUGGCGAGCCAAACCCACGGACAAAGUUUCUAGAGACAACUCGGCUUCUUCAUGCCAGAGAGGAUCUUCUGUGUACGAUGGGACACCAGUAAACUCACUGCCAGAACGUUGAGCUCCACAUGAUACUCCUGGGAUGCCAGUGAUCCUGACCCCUUCUGCUCUCCGGACCUGCCUACUUCUGGUUAGAGUUCUCAUCAAUUGGAUGUCAAAUGCUGCUGCUGAGGAUGGCCCCACAUGGUGCAGCCUAAAGAUCAUUGAGAUAACUGAGCAUGGUGCCACUUAAAAACCAUAAAGAUGGCUUUGGACCUCAAUUCUUAAGAACAGUUAUACUAUGAUGGCUAGGACUAUAAUUGCUAUGAUAGGUUUAGGACCGCAAUUGCCACGAACAGUUUUGCAACUCAAGUUCAACAAAACAGACUUCAUGUAAAAACUGUAAUAAAUUAUCCUACUUGACCAUGUAGCAUUAGCACAUUUAUAGAAGGGAUUUAUUUAUAAUUGCACUAUCCAGUGUCACCCAGAUUAGGAUGGGUUCCCUUUUUUUAACCAUACAGUUAAAAUCUAUAUCCUGAAUUUAAAUAUUUCUGUAAAGCUGCUAUGGGACAAUAUCCAUUGGUAAAAGUGCUAUACAAAUAAAACUGAAUUAAAAAGCUG